CAAAAUUUCACGCGUCAAGUUUCAAAGCAAAACAGAUUCCCGUUUUUUUUCCAAAAUGUAAUGAAUAAUCAUUAGAAUAAUAUGCGGCAUUAACUUACGGCUAUGUGUCGGCAUAAAACGAUAGUAACGGACAUCGGCGCUAUUUCAGCAUGCGCUGUGUAUCGCGUUUUAUUCAUUUACACAUGCAUCGUGUUAGUGCACUCAAUCCUUUAUUGGGGAAAACGUUUCUUGCGUCGACGCUUACAAAUUCACGAAUAAUGGUAAAAAAGCGCACUAUUCCUGGAGCGGAAUUAACCAAGCAGAUAGUAUUAGACGCCGCAUGGCUCGCAUUUAUUUAUAUGCUGCUACUGACACUGUUUGAGCUUAUCGAGCUGCUGCGCCCCAAGCCUUCUCGGUUUUUUUAAUAAAAAAAGCAAGAUUUGAUUCACAUAUUAAGAGGAAAGCAGAAGGCCUGGCAUGAGGCUUAAAAGGUAGAGAAAGAUCGGCAUAACAGUUGUUACCACAUUGCUGAAGAACAGUUUUCAACCAUUAAAAGAAGAGGUCGUUUUUGAGUGUCGCAUGAGGUCACUGAAAGGAAGAAAUGAACCUUAUCAACUGGAUACUUAUUUGAAUUUUAACGAUUUGGCAGAUAGUAUAUACUGUAUUUAAAUUAAACUAAAAAAUAUUG